GAUGAGAACGUAGCGAAAUGCGAUAAGUAAUGUGAAUUGCAGAAUUCAGUGAAUCAUCGAAUCUUUGAACGCACAUUGCGCCCCCUGGUAUUCCGGGGGGCAUGCCUGUUCGAGCGUCAUUUCAACCCUCAAGCUCUGCUUGGUAUUGAGUCCAUGUCAGCAAUGGCAGGCUCCAAAAUCAGUGGCGGCGCCGCUGGGUCCUGAACGUAGUAAUAUCUCUCGUUACAGGUGCUCGGCGUGCUUCUGCCAAAACCCCAAUUUUUCUAUGGUUGACCUCGGAUCAGGUAGGGAUACCCGCUGAACUUAAGCAUAUCAAUAAGCGGAGGA
rnacentral:misc_RNA from 1 species